UACAUUUCAUUGAUCCAACGACUGAUCUGAUCAAUGGAUUUUCUGUAUUGGGAAUGGAAUUGGCGAAAAAUUGCCCAUCCCUUGAACGACUAUCAUUUACGUUGGAUUGGGUAGUAAAGCAAAAUGAAAGCGGGAUUGUGUUUCCUACUAUUGUAAAGUGGCUGUUCCACUGAUGUCAGAAGGUGAAUUCACCAAUUUGUAAGUCGCUCUGGAUAAGAGCGUUUGCUAAAUGACUUAAAUGUAAUGUAAAUGUUUCCUGUAACGGGAUGUUAUAAAGUCAACCAAUUACAUCGGACGGUGUAAAUUCAAACGGGUGUGGUGUCUGUAGCGAAACCAGUGUGAACGCGUGGAUUGGGAAACAUCAGUGUUCUGCAGAGUGCACCCCCUGCAGACCGGUGGGCAGUGACCAUAUUCAGCUCCCGUCCCAUGAUAACAAGGCUCUCACACUGACCAAGACUGUGGAGUCUCACAUAGGGCGCUCUGGAGACACCCAGAAGAGCGACAACUUCACACCGGGUGUUUGGGCCCUCCACACAGCAACAGGAUGUAUUUGAGGAGAUUUACCUCCUGGUGCAGUCAGCCCUGGAUGGCUAAGUCUGCUGCUUCGUCUACGGCCAGACGGCCAGUGACAAAACCUACACCAUGGAGGACAUGCGUGAGGUCAUCCCCCAGGCCGUGCAGCAGAUAUUCCAGGCCUCCAAGAAAUUAAGGGAGCAGGGAUGGCAGUUUACAUUUAGUGCCAGUUUCGUUGAUCUUCAAUGGAACUCUGUGUGAUCUCCUCUACACUGGCAAGGCCGAAAAGAGACCGGAGCACGAGAUUUGCAAAAGUGCCAACAACUAGGUCACGUCACCAAUCUGACCUACCACAAGGUCAACUCUGGUAUUAAUACACUGGUAUUAGCCUAAAUUUAACUGUUAGAUGUAUUAUAUUUGUACAUUUUAGAUUUAAAGGUUGACUCAGCAAUAUUAUGUAGAUGCAGAAAAAAAAACUCAUACUGGGUCAAUUGUUUUGGUCUUGUGGCUACCAAGUAAAAGCGUGAAGCGAGCCCAUGCACAUGCACAGAUGCUGUGUGAAAGCGAAGUUGUGCAUCUCACUCAUCACAAUAUCUGCGGUGCUGCUUGUGGCAAUGUCAUUUUGCUGAGUCUACCUCAUUUAGAUGGCACUUAUCCAGAGAGACAUGGAGAAUUGUCUAGAAUUAAAGUAUAGGUAUGUACUAGUGAUGGGGAGGUUGACCUCUUGUUUUCACGACUGGAUCAUUUCGAAAUGUUCCGUAAAAAUAACGAAUGGCGAAUGAUGACCUGAACAUGAGAGUCAUGAUUCCACGAGCUUCUCGUUCAAUGUCUUUCACCAUCGGGAGCUUAUUGGAGCUGUCAUUUGUGACUGACUUGUAAAUGUGUGCUUUAAACAAUGUAGAUUUUUUGAUUGCUAGGCAUACAAAUAUGAUUAUUUAUUGGUACAUUUGAAACGAGGUCUAGUUUUGGCCGCAGCCGGACUAUAUUGUAAACCACUCUUGUCAGAAUGCAUUGCUUGUGAAAAGUAAUCUCACCACUCGCACUAAAAUAUUCUGCCGCUCUGUCGUUCUCAACAUGCAUCUCAUGAUGCCGAAAAGAAACUAGCGUCUGUGGGCGUGGCGUAGCAUUUGGCUGGCUCAAGGAGUCUGGGCAGCCAGGCAAGGUGAUGGACACAGUCAUUUGCGAACUGGAGCCCCUCCAGGGAUUUGUUUUGAGUUUGUUGAACGGAGUUGUGUCCAUUAUAACAUUCAAUAAUCAAUUAAUUGCAGUCAUCCUUACACCAUUCGGUCCAUUACCAGUUCUAAACAUGUAUUUUUUUCUUCUCUACGCUCAUGAUGUAUUUUCCUGCGUGCAUAUGACAGACUGUUAGUUGGUGGUCGGAGCACGUCUUGAGCCUCUGAGCUGGGGGAGGGUGUAUCAACCCUGCUGUUGAGUCGCUGCGGCCAGCACUAGCAGGUCAAACGAACGACUAAAAUGAACGAGUCAGUCAGAAAAAAUGAAUCAUGACUCAAGUCUGUGAAAAGUAGUUAAAACUGCACAUCACUAGUGUGUACAAAUGCAUACCAGUAUUGCUGUAGGGGUGCUGUACUAUAUACCAUGGCUAACCCUGUAAAAAAAACACACAUUUCACUUCACGUAUCUGGUGUAUGGGACAAGAAAACAUAUAUUGCAAAGUGAUUUGAACCUCCACUACAGGUUUAUCAGAGAACUGCUCUACCGCCGUGUUCGACAUGUAGGACACUUUAACCACUAUUGAGGUAAUUUAUUUAUAUAUAUAUAUAUACAAUGGGGCAAAAAGUAUUUAGUCAGCCACCAAUUGUGUAAGUUCUCCAACUUAAAAAGAUGAGAAAACUAAGGAGAUGAUCGUGGACUUCAGGAAACAGCAGAGGGAACACCCCCUAUCCACAUCGAUGGAACAGUAGUGGAGAGGGUAGUAAGUUUUAAGUUCCUCGGCAUACACAUCACAGACAAACUGAAUUGGUCCACUCACACAGACAGCAUCGUGAAGAAGGCGCAGCAGCGCCUCUUCAACCUCAGG